rnacentral:rRNA from 1 species
UGGGGAAUUUUGGACAAUGGGCGCAAGCCUGAUCCAGCCAUUCCGCGUGCAGGAUGAAGGCCCUCGGGUUGUAAACUGCUUUUGUACGGAACGAAAAGGCUUCCUCUAAUACAGGAGGCUCAUGACGGUACCGUAAGAAUAAGCACCGGCUAACUACGUGCCAGCAGCCGCGGUAAUACGUAGGGUGCAAGCGUUAAUCGGAAUUACUGGGCGUAAAGCGUGCGCAGGCGGUUUUGUAAGACAGGUGUGAAAUCCCCGGGCUUAACCUGGGAACUGCAUUUGUGACUGCAAGGCUGGAGUGCGGCAGAGGGGGAUGGAAUUCCGCGUGUAGCAGUGAAAUGCGUAGAUAUGCGGAGGAACACCGAUGGCGAAGGCAAUCCCCUGGGCCUGCACUGACGCUCAUGCACGAAAGCGUGGGGAGCAAACA